CUGGUUGGUGUCCACGAUGUGGCCGUGCAGCAGCCGCAGCCACACAAGGUCGUUGUGCAUGCCGUGGCCCACCAGGAUGGUGCGGGGCCCCAUCAGAGCCAGCAGCUUGGCGUGCACGUCCCGCAGCGUGGUGGUGACGCCGCGCAGGUCAGCGGCGGUGAGGCCCGAGAAGGGCGUGUUGUAGUCGAGGACGUGGCCCUCGGGCUUCACCAUGGUCUCGUAUACCGGCCGGCAGCGGUGGUCCACCACGGUGAGCGCCACCACCUCGUACCCGCGGGUCGUGGCCACCAUCUCGCAGUCCAGCGCCAACACAGACCUGUCGUGCGCGGCGCCGCUGCUCGUGCUGAUGAAGCCCGUCAGGUUGGCAGGGUCGAUGUUACAGUGGAUGUGGUAGUCCGAGGUCUGGCAGGACUGGCCGCCUUGGCGAUGCCCGCAGCACGGGUGCACGCCAUUCCUGGCCCGCUGCAUGUGCCACUUGCAGGUCUCCCGCACCGCCGGCCACCCCUCG